UACGAAGGGGGCUAGCGUUGCUCGGAAUUACUGGGCGUAAAGGGCGCGUAGGCGGACAGUUUAGUCAGAGGUGAAAGCCCAGGGCUCAACCUUGGAAUUGCCUUUGAUACUGGCUGUCUUGAGUUCGGGAGAGGUGAGUGGAAUGCCGAGUGUAGAGGUGAAAUUCGUAGAUAUUCGCAAGAACACCAGUGGCGAAGGCGGCUUACUGGUCCGGUUCUGACGCUGAGGCGCGAAAGCGUGGGGAGCAAACAGG
rnacentral:rRNA from 1 species